CCCCUUUCAGAGUAACAAUUGGAGGGAAAGUAUGGUGCCAGCAGCCGCGGUAAUUCCAGCUCCAAUAGCGUAUAUUUGAGUUGUUGCAGUUAAAAAGAUAGUAGUUGGAUUUCUGUCUUGGCUUUUACGUGUACUACAUGUAUAUUAAUUUAUAGAUGUUUUAUAACAGCGUUUAAACUUUGACAUAUUAUCCCAAUGUGUGUAUGUGUGUGUAUAUAUAGAGAAUUAGGUUUUAAAACCCUGAUUUAAUAUAUAUAUAUAUAUAUAAUCAUUGGGACUUUUACUUUGAGAAAAAUAGAGUGUUUCAAGCAGGUAUUUUUUUGCCUUGAAUACUGCAGCAUGGAAUAAUAAUAUAGGACUUUGGUUUUAUUUUGUU
rnacentral:rRNA from 1 species